ACUGGAGGGCAGCUGAGAAUUUGCCACCCGAGGAAGGGGGAGCAUGUUAUUUAAAAUUAAUUACAGGCAGUCUUUCUCAUAUGUUUGUUAAAUUAAAUAUUUAAUUACUGACAUAAUCAGUAUUGUCUUGUAUAUGUAUUUGAAAAUGCUGUGUGCAUGGCAACACUUUUUACUGUGAAAUCAGUAUGGAUAAUCCUCUGAAUCCCAUUCUAGGACUUUAUUUCAUUUAUGAGAUCUGCUGAUACAUUUUCAGGCUUGGAUGGAAACAUGAGAAUCUAAUUGGUGUCUUUUCUCUUGCUGAAAAUUGAUCAGUGCCACUGCACAUAUGGGCCAUAGUCAUGUUUCAAACUGCCUGUUUUGGCUUUGCUUGAGCAGAGAUCUUCAUUUCCUUUUUCCACUUCUUUUUCUUGCUUCUAAUGCAUGUCUCUUGUUUGAUGCAUUUUUGCUUCCUGCCUCUGGAAUAUUCAUCACUUUUUAUUUUUGUUUCCUUCCUUUUCUUUUCUUUUUUGCCUGACCUGACUGAAAAGCUUCGACAUUUAGAUCCAAGGCGUUAAAAGUCUAGUGUGACGUUUCCACAGUCUAUAGUGAUUUGAGGUGCUAUGUCUGGUGUUAAUAGCAUUUGGUUGUCUGUGGUUGUCAACUGUGUUCAAAGUCAAUUCUGCUGUCUUCCCUGAGAUUUUAGAGCAAUUAUGCAUGUGUCAGGCUGAUAAGCUUUGCAAAGAUGCAAUUUCCUUUUCUACAGCGCCCUUACUAGUAACAAAUAGUUUGCUGACGAUGAUGCUACUCGGUGAUUUUAAUAUACAUGUCUGUUGCCCAGGGAAGCCCCUGGCUAAAGAAUUCAUGGACCUGGUGAACUCUUUUAUUCUUGUUCAAUCUGUUAAAUGUGCCACUCAAGAACGUGGUCACACAUUGGAUUUGGUGUUAUCAUAUGGGUUAUCUGUCUGUAACUUACAUGUGGAGGAUGCUGUAUUCUCUGACCAUAUGCCCAUUUUAUUUGACGUUGUUCCUCUUAGUCCUGUUGUUAAACGGGCUGCACCUACGCGAUGCUAUCGUGCCUUCGGCUCAGAUACUGCUGAGCAUUUUUCAACACUAUUUGAACAACUUGUGUCCAGUCCCUCUGAGUUGUCCUCCGUAGAUGGAUUACUAUCUCAUCUGGACUCUGUUUGUAAAUCUGCCCUUGAUGUUGUUGCACCUCUAAGGCAGUGUAAACCCAAGGCCAGUCCUUGGCUAGCCGAUUUUACUUGAGCCAUUAAAAGAGAAUGUAGGUAUGGAAGCCCGUUUCCGCCACUAAAAAAAAAAAAAAAAAGAUCCAUAACUCGAAAUUUCGAGUUAUCUUUCUCGAAAUUUCGAGUUAUUUUCUCAAAAUUCGGACUUAUUAACUCGAAAUUUCGAGUUAUUAACUCGAAAUUUUGAGAAAAUAACUCGAAAUUUCGAGUUAGCGCUGCCAAUAAGAAAUCUACGUGGCUGAUGUCAUUUCCUUGUUACCCGGAAGGAUAUGGCGCAAAGGGGUGCGCACUCAAAACUGGAUCGUGUCGUGAACUACUGUAUUAACAACAAAUGGCGCCAGGUUCUUCAGUUUUGAAUGCCUUCCUACAAAUGAUAACUGGAUAAAAGCAUGGGAGACUUGACUGAAUUCUUGAAACAAAGAGAAGUCUCUGAGGAAAUUAUACAGACCUUGGAGAAUGAGAAGAUUGAUGCCAGUGUCAUAAGUCUAAUGACAGAUGAGGAGCUGAAGACUUAUUUGCCAUCAUACGGUGAUCGUCUAGCAGUAUUUGGAUUUUGCAGACGGAGGGGCAGCAGCCGCAAGUCAGCGCUUUUUGAACGGCUGAAAUCCAAACUGUCCAAAAGAAAAUUAUCUGAAGAGGAUGGCAGUAGCACACGGCAAGAAGAACAUUCCCAAACAACCCAUAAAAGAAAUGCUCUGAAGAGAAAUAGAAAAAUAGAAAUAGGAUGGAUGCAUUAUGAUGAAGACACUGACGUUUUCAAGCAGGUUAGAGCUAGACGAGGAGGAGGAACAAGAAAAAUAGACAUCUGCAAGGAUGCCAAGAAAAGGGACAUAUUACAGGUUGCAACAGGCCUGUUCUUUCCAGAUGGAGGAAACAUUCAGGGGCCCUUAACAGAUUUUGACUGUGAUCUGAAGGAUUAUCAAGAGAUGAUAGUCGAUGAUGCAUUGACAGUAGGAGAACUUUAUCAUGUCACAAGACUUAAUAUCCUCAGGUUCUACCUCACCACAAAGAAAAAACAAAAUGACAGCCUUCAGAGCUCCAACCCAGGUUUGCAUCCAUCUUCAGAAAUUGAAGCGAGUCCUCAAAACCAAACCUCUUCUUUUACUGUCACUACAGUCCAAACAUCUGCUCCAUUUGAAACAAUCAGCCAUGAUGUGACAUACAUUGAAGACACUCCAAAUGAUAACCUUCCACAAUCUUCCACGCAGUCUCUAAGCGCUAACACUUCUCACAGCAGUGACAUUAUUUUUGUUGGCCCCUUUUCUGACAGUGAGCGAAUAAAUUUGGAUGACACCCUGAUUUUUUCUCCACAACCUGGUCCAUCCAGUGAGAGAGUGAGGAGAGUAGUGGUGGUCCACAGAGGGCAGGUAAUGUCAGAGCUCAUUUCACAUUUUAGUGAUAAGGACCUUGAAGAUGUCGACAUCAAAAUCCAGGUCUUACUGCCUGAUGGAACACCUGAAAUGGCCCAUGACGAUGGGGGAGUUGUGAGAGACUGUCUUUCAGAAUUCUGGAAAGAAUUCUAUGACCAGUGCACCACUGGAAACGUUUACAAAGUGCCCUUCUUAAGGCAUGAUCUUGGGCAACCGGAGUGGGAGAGUGUGGGCAGAAUCAUUGCAUUUGGAUGGGUUAGAGAGAAAUAUCUGCCUGUGAAAAUUGCACCUGCCAUUCUGGAACAAGCUGC
ensembl:lncRNA